UUUUCCUACGGGACGCAGCAGUUAGGAAUAUUCGUCAAUGGGGGAAACCCUGAACGAGCAAUGCCGCGUGAACGAUGAAGGCCCUAUGGGUUGUAAAGUUCUGUUGUUUGGAACGAAUAGCUAAAUGAGGAAAUGCAUUUAGUCUGACGGUACCAUUCAAGAAAGCCACGGCUAACUACGUGCCAGCAGCCGCGGUAAUACGUAGGUGGCGAGCGUUAUCCGGAUUUAUUGGGCGUAAAGCGUGCGCAGGCGGUUUGUUAAGUCUAAAAUAAAAGCCCGAAGCUUAACUUCGGUUCGUUUUAGAA
rnacentral:rRNA from 1 species